GCCAGGGAACUACGAGCAAAGCUUAAAACCCAAAGGACUUGACGGUGCCCCACAUCCCUCUAGAGGAGCCUGUCCUGCAAUCGAUAACCCACGUUCAACCUCACCACUUUUAGCUUUUCAGCCUGUAUACUUCCGUCGCCAGUUCACCGCGUGAGCGAAUAGUUAACUUAAUGUUAUCCACAAUACGUCAGGUCAAAGUGCAGCAAAUAAAGUGGAAAGAGAUGGGCUACACUCUCUACUAUAGAAAAUACGAAAACUAAAUGAAAACUCAGUCAGAAGGUGGAUUUAGCAGUAAGAUAAAAUAGAAUAUCUAUCUUA
rnacentral:rRNA from 1 species